CCUGUUUAAUCAAAAACAUGGCUUCCUGUGUGACUUUAGAAAGGGGGUCUGGCCUGCCCGGUGGGAUUGGUUUUCUAAACGGUUGCAGAUUUGUACUAAGGUAGCAUAAUAGGUUGCCCUUUAAUUGGGGGAUUGUAUGAAUGGUCGGACGCAGAAAAACUUUAUUGGCGGUAGGUGUUGAAUUUUACUUUCUAGUGCAAAGGCUGGGAUAAUAUUAUUAGACGAGAAGACCCUGUCGAGCUUGGUAAGGUAAGAUCCGUGGGGGCUUAUUAUAUGUUUUUUCGGGGAAGAAAGGAAGGGAUGAAAUGCCUUCUUUUUUAGAAAUGUAGAUAAAGUAAGAUUUCUAGAAGAAGAUAGUUACCGCAGGGAUAACAGCGCAAUCCUCUUAAUAAGUUCAUAUUUAAGAGAGGGUUUGCGACCUCGAUGUUGAAUCAGGAUAUCUAUCAGGUGUAGGGGCUUGGUAAGUGGGACUGUUCGUCCUUUGAAAUUCUACGUGAUCUGAGUUCAGA
rnacentral:rRNA from 1 species